rnacentral:snRNA from 1 species
GGUGAGGGCAACUAGUCAACAUCUGUCACUCCAUUGCUUGUCAGGAUUCUUUUAGCUGAUUUGUCUGACUGGGCAGGUGUCCCCUCUCUCCCUCAGUGCUCCAUGUGCAUCCCUCUUGAAGCUUCGCACUCUGUUGAAGAGGACACCAUCCCAGGUAGAGAGGGGGACGGGAAACUGGGCCAA